AGGCGUAGCAGAGCGCUGGAGCAUGGACUGAGGACGAGCGGACCCGGCGCAGCCGCGGCGCGGAGCCGCCUGUGGCCACUGGUCCCCGGAGCUGCCAAUCCGGGCGUAAUCCUGGAGGAAUUUCUCCCGGGUUUCGCUGGGAGUCACACUGCCGCCUCCUCUCCUCGGGCGGCCCGGAGGAGUCCGGAGAAGCCGGCUGGGGAGGGAAGAGGGAGGGAGCGGGAGGAGGAAGGGAGUGGGGGGUGGAGGAGGAGGAGGACCCGGGGAGGGAGGCGGCGGCGCGGGAGGAGGAGGAGGCGGAGGAGGGGCGCCGCGGCUGAGCCACUAGCCCGGCUCGGACGCGCUACUCUCCAGAUACUCCGGGAGCUGCAGCCGCGCGGAUCGCGCGCCCCCGCCGCUCUGCCCCCAAACUUCAGCUGCAGCUACAUUCCAAGCCAUCUAAUUUAUUCCUCAAAAGAAUCAGAAACGGAGCAGCGACACAGGGAAGGAGUCCGCGGAGGAGUAAAACCACAGCAGAGCAACAAGAGCCUCCGAGCCGCCUCCCCCGCCCGGAGCCACAAUCCGGCCUCGGGAGUGAAGAAGCCAACAAGUGAGAAGGCGCCGCGGAACCGCGGUCGCUGCGGCAGCUCUGCUCCUGAUCUUUCUGCGCGAGCAGCGCCGGGCGCUGGGCGAGAAGCUUCGUGUUCUCCCUCGUUGCAAGCGGGCAGCUGGGAGCCACCGGUCCCGGAGGAAUAUGCGGCGCGCUUGGAUCCUGCUCACCUGGGUCUUGGUGGCCUGCGUGUCCGCCGAGUCGGAGCUGAUGAGGAUGGAGAGAGUCCAGAGCUGACCACGUCUCGGCCCAUUCCAAAGAUACCAUUCACUAGUACUGCUCCGAGAGUGGAAACCACAACACUGAGCAAGAUACAGGACAAGAUCCCUGCUCAGACAAAGUCACCUGAAGAAAUUGAUAAGGAAAAAGUUCACCUCCCUGACUCAGAAAGGAAAAUGGACCCAGCUGAAGAGGAUACAAAUGUAUAUACUGAGAAGCACUCAGACAAUCUGUUUAAACGAACAGAAGUCCUGGCAGCUGUCAUUGCUGGCGGAGUUAUCGGCUUUCUCUUUGCAAUUUUCCUUAUCCUGCUGUUGGUGUAUCGCAUGAGAAAGAAGGAUGAAGGAAGUUAUGAUCUUGGAGAACGCAAACCAUCCAGUGCUGCUUAUCAGAAGGCACCUACUAAGGAGUUUUAUGCGUGAAAACUCCCAUUUAGUGUCUCUAUUUAUGAGAUCACUGAACUUUUAAAAAUAAAGCUUUUGCAUAGAAUAAUGAAGAUCUUUGUUUUUUGUUUGUUUGUUUUUUUCAUUAAAGAGCCAUUCUGGCACUUUAAUGAUAAAAAUCCCAUUGUAUUUAAAUCUUUUCAUGUAUUUCUUUAGAACAACAUAAAAUUCAAACUUAACAUCUGCAGUGUUCUGUGAAUAGCAGUGGCAAAAUAUUAUGUUAUAAAAACGCUCAAUGUACAUGGAAUCAG
rnacentral:lncRNA from 1 species